CGGUGCAUAAACGUGUAAACGUCAGGUCUUUCAACUCUAGAAAAUGCUACACACUAUUCUCCAUGUAAGGUAAUUGUAAUAAUAGUUAUUUUUCAAAUCUACACCGUAAUAAGUUAAAGUCUGACCUUGCGCUUUGUUUAUUGACAUUGCAAAACAAACUUUUAUUGAAAACUGAACUAAACUGGAAAAUCAUUAGGGUUUUUCUCCCUUAGCACAUCCGGUCAAAAUUUCUGCUUCAAUUACAUCUUUUGUAAGAGAGGUGAAACGGAA